UACGUAGGUGGCAAGCGUUGUCCGGAAUCACUGGGCGUAAAGCGCGCGUAGGCGGCGGUGCUGGCCCGGCGUGAAAGCCCCCGGCUCAACCGGGGAGGGUCGUCGGGGACCGCACCGCUUGAGGGCGGUAGGGGCUGGUGGAAUGCCUGGUGUAGUGGUGAAAUGCGUAGAGAUCAGGCGGAACACCCGUGGCGAAGGCGGCCAGCUGGGCCGUCCCUGACGCUGAGGCGCGAAAGCUAGGGGAGCAAACGGG
rnacentral:rRNA from 1 species